UACGGAGGGUCCAAGCGUUAUCCGGAAUCAUUGGGUUUAAAGGGUCCGUAGGCGGUUUUGUAAGUCAGUGGUGAAAGCCCAUCGCUCAACGGUGGAACGGCCAUUGAUACUGCAAGACUUGAAUUAUUAGGAAGUAACUAGAAUAUGUAGUGUAGCGGUGAAAUGCUUAGAGAUUACAUGGAAUACCAAUUGCGAAGGCAGGUUACUACCAAUAUAUUGACGCUGAUGGACGAAAGCGUGGGGAGCGAACAGG
rnacentral:rRNA from 1 species